CUGCAGCUCAAGUGGUGACCACUAUUAUUGGGCCUAAAACGUUCGUAGCCGGUUUGGUAAAUGCCUGGGUAAAUCGUGUAGCUUAACUAUACGAAUUCCGGGUAGACUGCCAGACUUGAGACCGGGAGAAGCUAGAGGUACUCCUGGGGUAGAGGUGAAAUUCUGUAAUCCUGGGGGGACCACCAGUGGCGAAGGCGUCUAGCUAGAACGGGUCUGACGGUGAGGAACGAAGCCCUGGGGCGCAAACCGGAUUAGAUACCCGAGUAGUCC
rnacentral:rRNA from 1 species